AUACAUGUAGUGUCAGAAGGUAGAGCUGUCUAAACGUGCCUCCCUGCAGUUUUUACGCGACGUGAUCACUGGCUAAAGCUAUUUGUUAUGAUAGCACUUUCUCACAAAUGUGUUUCUUGAAAACUGUGAAAACUUCUAUCCUGACAAGCUGUCAAAUGAAAGGCAAACAUUUUUGUACCACAGAAAUUCUAAUCCUUUCACAGAUGCACUGGGAAUAUUUAUCUUCAGGACUCACUUGGAAGCCAGCAAUGUUUCUCUAAGUACUUCAAGUCCAAGGAUGAAGAACUUUGUUGUCCACAUGAUGAUGUGAUUUAGACCCCACUUCCCCUUUUGAGACAGAUCUUGGUGGGCUUAGUGAAUGGCAUGUCUUGAAAGAGCCUAUAACUGUUCCCAGAGAAGAAGGAGGAAAUCCUAGAAAGUGAGAAACCCAGUGGACCCAAUGCCAAGCAAGGAAAACCAGACAUGCAAAGUCAAGAGCACACCAGCACCAGCCCCGGGCUCACUGAGCCUGCCAAGAUCCCGACCCUUUUCCAGGGCCGUAGACAAAGGCAGAUAAUCUACAGGGUAACUUCCCAACAAGAUAGUUCUGUGUUGCAAGUCAUCAGUGGGCCAGAAACAUGUGUGCAAGAUGAGAUGUCUGUGGAUGCGAUGCAUGUCUUUAUUGAUGAACAUGCCUUUUAGAAGCAGAAAAAAUUUUCGGAUUUCGUUCAGUUAGCAAAAACAUGUACGAAGGUAGGUCUUUCGUAAAAAAUGAGGUGGCGUAAAGCGAACUUACCAAAAGCGGGGGAUACCUGUACUAGCCUGGAACGGGAAGGCUUAGUUCUGCUUGCUGACAGACAAUGUUCUUAGAACAGAGUGUGCGCCCUCCUGCCUCAGGGCCUUUGCACAUACCGUGUCCCUGUGCCCACAUUGUGCCAUUUAUCCUUCGGGUCUCAAUUCUAAAGAAAGUUCUUCAGGAGAACCUUUCCUGGAUUUCCCAGGUUUAAUCAGGUUCCUGUGCUCUUUUGCUCUCCUAACACCCUAUCCUUUUCCUUCUUUGAGACUGUUACAGCUUCUAAUUGUUUAUUGACUUCCAAUAAUUUGAUUAGUGACAUUUUCUCCCUCACAGUUGUAAACUUUGGGGAGGUAAUGCCCAGCACCUAAGAAAUAUUCGUUAGAUAUAUGUUGAAAAUCUGACCUUGAUAUAUUUUUAAUACCUUGUUAUAAACAAGAUUUUAAAAAGUAAUAGAAAGGAAGGACGGAAGGAAGAAAGAAAAAGAAAGAAAGAAAGAGAGAAAGAAGGAAAGGAAGGAAGAACCAUUAAAUGGCAAAUUCAAGGUUCCUGAGAUAAGGGGUAUAGGUCUUAGUUUUUGUAGGUCGGGUCUUGGGUUAAGUCCCUUAUAGAUCAAUGUAAACUUAUUAUUCUACUCUCACGAGGAUCCUGGUUUGGAUAAUAAAUCAUAUAUUACCCUCUCUAUAUAGAUCAGUAGUUUAUAGUUUGAAGUGCUUUUGCAUCUGCAGAAAUACAAAGAGACUUUUACAUUAUGAAGAACAACAUUAGCACUUCUAUCAAAGCCUCCAGAGGAGCCGUGGUUGUCAUUGUGAAUGUUUCUUUUGGGGGUACCACCUUGAAGUUGAGGUCCAGCACUGCAGACUCCGUUGCAGCUGCUCAUGACAGACGAGGUUAAUUAUGCUUCCCUGUCACCUGAAGAAAGUACGCCUAAAACCUCUUCUGGGGAGAGACCAUUUACACCUCAGAACCCUGAGCCACUUUAGCAGGCUAAUUUAACUCCACAAAUUAAUUCCAUGUCUUUCUUUUCCUCAUUACCGGGCUGACAUACCAGUCAGCAGCUGUGCCAAUGCUCAUCUGCAAAUUCAAAGGUUGGGAUGGCCCCUCGUGGUCCACCGAUCAAAACCACACACUUAAUAAGCCUCUUUUGCACGUGAUACAAAAAAACCCCACAAAAAACCCAGUUACAGCAUACAGAGAUCAUCCUGACACAUGAAGAGAAUAUACAAAAGAAAUGCGUUGAAAAGAAUA